CCUACGGGGUGCAGCAGUGGGGAAUAUUGCACAAUGGGGAAAACCCUGAUGCACCGACGCCCGGUAAAGGAAGAAGUAUUUCGGUAUUUAACCUUCUAUAAGAAGGGAAGAAAAAUACGGUACCUGACUAAAAAGCCCCGCCUAACUACGUGCAAGCAGCCGCGGUAAAACGUAGGGGGCAAGCGUUAUCCGGUUUUACUGGGUGUAAAGGUAGCGGAGGCGGGUUAGCAAGUAAGAAGUGAAAGCCCGGGACUCAACUCCGGGACUGCUUUGGAAACUGUUGAACUAGAUUGCAGGAGAGGUAAGUGGAAUUCCUAGUGUAGCGGUGAAAUGCGUAGAUAUUAGGAGGAACACCAGUGGCGAAGGCGGCUUACUGGACUGUAAAUGACGCGGAGGCUCGAAAGCGUGGGGAGCAAACAGGAUUAGAUACCCUAGUAGUC
rnacentral:rRNA from 1 species